rnacentral:rRNA from 1 species
GACAUCCAGAGAACUUAGCAGNGAUGCUUUGGUGCCUUCGGGAACUCUGAGACAGGUGCUGCAUGGCUGUCGUCAGCUCGUGUUGUGAAAUGUUUGGGUUAAGUCCCGCAACGAGCGCAACCCUUUAUCCUUUGUUGCCAGCGGUUCGGCCGGGAACUCAAAGGAGACUGCCGGUGAUAAACCGGAGGAAGGUGGGGAUGACGUCAAGUCAUCAUGGCCCUUACGGCCAGGGCUACACACGUGCUACAAUGGCGCAUACAAAGAGAAGCGACCUCGCGAGAGCAAGCGGACCUCAUAAAGUGCGUCGUAGUCCGGAUUGGAGUCUGCAACUCGACUCCAUGAAGUCGGAAUCGCUAGUAAUCGUAGAUCAGAAUGCUACGGUGAAUACGUUCCCGGGCCUUGUACACACCGCCCGUCACACCAUGGGAGUGGGUUGCAAAAGAAGUAGGUAGCUUAACCUUCGGGAGGGCGCUUACCACUUUGUGAUUCAUGACUGGGGUGAAGUCGUAACAAGGUAAGCGUAGUGCU